rnacentral:misc_RNA from 1 species
GAUGAAGAACGCAGCGAAAUGCGAUAAGUAAUGUGAAUUGCAGAAUUCAGUGAAUCAUCGAAUCUUUGAACGCAUCUUGCGCUCCUUGGUAUUCCUUGGAGCAUGCCUGUUUGAGUAUCAUGAGCAAAUCUCAAAGUCAAUUCCUUUUGUUGAUUCAAUUGGUUUUGCUUUGGACUUGGAGGCCUUGCAGAUUUCACAGUCUGCUCCUCUUAAAUGCAUUAGCUGGAUCUCAGUAAUUAUGCUUGGUUCCACUCGGCGUGAUAAGUAUCACUCGCUGAGGACACUGUUAAAAAGGUGGCCAGGAAAAUACUGAUUGAACCGCUUCUAACGGUCUAUCAAGUUAGACAAUUACCCUUAAGUUUGAUCUCAAAUCAGGUAGGACUACCCGCUGAACUUAAGCAUAUCAAUAAGCGGAGGA